CCACCUGCUCAAAGCAGAACAACUUGUGAACAUGUAAUCGCAACCUAGGAACUAAGGGCCCAGUCUCUUUGGCAGGUCGCCCUUUGUUCCCAAUGUCGAGGCCUGUCGGUAAUAACGUAGCCCAUCGAUGCCCGUCGUUUGAGCUGCCUGUUCCGGGUUGACUUGAUACAACAAAAACCCGGCGUGAAAUGCGCCAAGGAACUUAAAAGAACGUGCAUCCAUCCYGUGUUUGCUUACGCAACAUUUCGGAAGGAUGUCAUCUUCUUGAUGUCUUUAAUGACUCUCGGCAACGGAUAUCUCGGCUCUUACAUCGAUGAAGAACGUAGCGAAAUGCGAUACUUGGUGUGAAUUGCAGAAUCCCGUGAACCAUCGAGUCUUUGAACGCAAGUUGCGCCCGAAUCCAUCCGGUCGAGGGCACGUCUGCCUGGGUGUCACGUACACACGUCUCCACUAUCCCCUCUCCUUUAAAGGACUUACGGGACCUGUGCGAGCAGAGAUUGGUAUCCCGUACUUCAAAUCGUGCGGUUUACCUAAAACUGAGUACCGGUGAUGAAGUUUCACGCCAAGUGGUGGUUCAUAAUCCUCAGGGGUUUAGCCAGUUUGUGUCGUGAAAGCCCAUCACUCGGAAAGCUCUAUAGACACCUCUAACGUCUAAUUCGACGCUAUUGUCGC
rnacentral:misc_RNA from 1 species